UACGUAGGGUGCGAGCGUUGUCCGGAAUUAUUGGGCGUAAAGAGCUCGUAGGCGGUCUGUCGCGUCGAAUGUGAAAACCCGGGGCUCAACUCCGGGCUUGCAUUCGAUACGGGCAGGCUAGAGUUCGGUAGGGGAGUCUGGAAUUCCUGGUGUAGCGGUGAAAUGACGCAGAUAUCAGGAGGAACACCGGUGGCGAAGGCGGGUCUCUGGGCCGAUACUGACGCUGGAGGCGCGAAAGCGUGGGGAGCGAACGGG
rnacentral:rRNA from 1 species